rnacentral:misc_RNA from 1 species
UGAAAUUGGGAGGGGCAGUAAAAGAAGCCUCCAGCUUUUGGUCUUCAUUGGUGGUGGUGGUGGUGGUGUUUGAAGUAGAAGAAAGAGGUGUCUCUGAGGUGGCUCUAAUAAUGGAAAUUGGCCUUCUGGGUAUUUUCCGCUUGCUGGGAAUCGAACAGAAAAAAGAAGAUUGAGGGAUGUUGAGAACUCCGGCCAUGAUUUCUCCGGUGGGAUCAAGAACAAAACUAGAGGUGUUGUUGUUGGGAAGUGAAGUGAU